rnacentral:misc_RNA from 1 species
UUGAAUUUUUAAAAAGGGGUUGUAGCUGAUCUUAUGAUAUGUGCACACCUCUUUUAGCCAAAAUUUUACACCAUGUGCACUCUUUGUAGGCCAGUAAAAUGGUCUAUGUCUUUAUAUACACUCUAAAAGGUUUUAAAAUGUACAAGUCAUAAAGUUUAUA